rnacentral:rRNA from 1 species
UAAGCACCGGCUAACUCCGCGCCAGCAGCCGCGGUAAUACGGGGGGUGCAAGCGUUACUCGGAAUCACUGGGCGUAAAGGACGCGUAGGCGGAUUAUCAAGUCUUUUGUGAAAUCUAGUGGCUUAACCACUAAACUGCUUAGGAAACUGAUAGUCUAGAGUAGGGGAGAGGUAGAUGGAAUUCUUGGUGUAGGGGUAAAAUCCGUAGAGAUCAAGAAGAAUACCCAUUGCGAAAGCGAUCUGCUGGAACCUAACUGACGCUGAGGCGUGAAAGCGUGGGUAGCAAACAGGAUUAGAUACCCUGGUAGUCCACGCCCUAAACGAUGUAUACUAGUUGUUGCUUUGCUAGUCAAGGCAGUAAUGCAGCUAACGCAUUAAGUAUACCGCCUGGGGAGUACGGUCGCAAGAUUAAAACUCAAAGGAAUAGACGGGGACCCGCACAAGCGGUGGAGCAUGUGGUUUAAUUCGAAGAUACGCGAAGAACCUUACCUGGACUUGACAUCCUAAAAACAUCUAAGAGAUUAGAAAGUGCUAGUUUACUAGAAUUUAGUGACAGGUGCUGCACGGCUGUCGUCAGCUCGUGUCGUGAGAUGUUGGGUUAAGUCCCGCAACGAGCGCAACCCACGUGUUUAGUUGCUAACAGCUCGGCUGAGCACUCUAAACAGACUGCCUUCGUAAGGAGGAGGAAGGUGUGGACGACGUCAAGUCAUCAUGGCCCUUAUGUCCAGGGCGACACACGUGCUACAAUG